GGCCAAUCUACACCCCAUGGCCAUUAAAAGUUAUUCAAAUCAUGACGCUGCACCCCAUGGUUUAGGUUCUAGGGGGCGCCAAAGAUAACCCUAAGAUCCACAUAUUUAAAAGUCUUAUAACUUUUUAUUUUUGCCCUCACUGGCCUCCAAGUUUUCUAGGAUGAUGCAAUGUCCAGCCAUCAACACAUUUGUGAAGGAAUUUUUACUCCCCAAAAGAGCGCCCCCCAUGGCAGGAGAAAAAAGUCCAUUUUUUCUUGUCCCCUAAGGUGAAAAUACACAUUGUUGAGUGUCACGCCUAUACGCUUUGUCAAAAUGACACAAAAAUUGACACACACAUGUAACUCAAUAAGAUCUACGAAAAAGUCAAUGCGUGCGUAUCUGUCAAAUGUACGGUUAAAGGGUUAUUCCGCAUUUUUUGCCGAUCCGCACACAUUGGAAUUUCGCUAACUCCUCCGAAGGCUUUCGUUCCACCGGCACCACAUUUGCUCAGGCCAAUCUACACCCCAUGGCCAUUAAAAGUUAUUCAAAUCAUGACGCUGCACCCCACGGUUUAGGUUCUAGGGGGCGCCAAAGACAACCCUAAAAUCCACAUAUUUAAAAGUCUUAUAACUUUUUAUUUUUGUCCUCACUGGCCUCCAAGUUUUCUAGGAUGAUGCAAUGUCCAGCCAUCAACACAUUUGUGAAGGAAUUUUUACUCCGCAAAAGAGCGCCCAUCCAUGGCAGGAGAAAAAAGUCCAUUUUUUCUUGUCCCCUAAGGUGAAAAUACAUAUUGUUGAGAUUCACGCCUAUACGCUUUGUCAUAUUGACACAAAAUUUGACAAUCAUGUGUAUCUCAAUUAGAUCUACGAAAAAGUCAAAGAGCGCGUAUCUGUAUAAUGUACGGUUAAAGGGCUAUUUUGCAUUUUUUGCCGAUUCGCACACAUUGGAAUGUGGCUAUCUCCUCCUAAGGCUUUCGUCCCACCGAUACCAAAUUUGCUCAGGGCAAUCUACACCCCAUGCCCAUUCAAAGUUGUAAAAAUCAUGACGCUGCACCCCACGGUUUACGUUCUAGGGGGCGCCAAAGAUGACCCAAAAAUCCACAUUCUUAAAAGUCAUUUUGGCCACUGCAGGAGUACAGAGUACUGCAGUUCUAGGGGGCGCCAAAGAUGACCCAAAAAUCCACAUUCUUAAAAGUCUUUUUGGCCACUGCAGGAGUACAGAGUACUGCAGGAUACACACACAUAUACACACACGCCAACAUACACACACACACACACACACACACACACACACACAGACACACACACACACUCAGAGUCUGUUUUUUAGCACCUGCAAAAACAUGCUGUUUACAUAUUUGACAAGAAUGCAGAGGCUUCCUUUUGCCCCUGAAAAAAAUCAAAUUUCAAACACAACUUGACUGGUCAUUUCUCCAAAAGACAACCAUGAAUCAAAUUUCAAACACAACUUGACUGGUCAUUUCUCCAAAAGACAACCAUGAAGCUCCAUCCAAACCUGAAGCAGGCAGUUGGUGCAUGUGUACAGUAACCUGAGGGGAGUGAGGUGACUGCUUCUGAGGAGAACAUGAGCACUGAAGAUUCACCUUGGAGCUAGAACAGGGACGUGCACAUGAUAAUACAGGGGCAGGGGCUCAAGUUUUUUCCAGUCGUUUAUACAAUAUGGAAAUUAAUGUGAAAUUAAAAAACAAAGUAUGACUGUCCUGUGUAGGUGACAGUGAUAUCCAAUAGACUAGGCACUCACGAGGCUGGCUGUGGCAAGUGUAAGUGAAAGCAACACGCACUGGCAGGAAGAACAGCAAACGCCGAUGAAGGAAAAGGGUCUUUGCAGUGAUGGGCGUUACCAGAGAGGGCGAUGGCCAGAGGACACGAAUGGGACGGGGAGGCAGCGCGUUGGGGGGGGGGGGGGGGGGGGGGGCGCGACACGGCUCGGGCCCGCCAGUGCCCCAACGGGGCCCUAGUCUUUGUUUCUUUCUUUCUUCUUUUUCCUCCCCUUUGAACUGGAAAAUGGCCCACUUCCCACUGGCGAAAACUCAUGAAAUUUGGCAGGAUGACCGGGCCUGGUGAAAAAUUUGAUAUUCCGAAGUCGCCCAAACAAGAAAAUGCAAAAUGGCUCCAUAGCGCCCCCUAAGGUGAAAAUUCACACUAUUGACUGUCACGCCUUUACGCUUUGUCAAAAUGACACAAAAAUUGACACACAUAUGUAUCUCAAUAAGAUCUACAAAAAAGUCAGUGCGGGCGUAUCUGUCAAAUGUACGGUUAAAGGGUUAUUUCGCAUUUUUUGCCGAUCCGCACACAUUGGAAUUUCGCUAACUCCUCCGAAGGCUUUCGUUCCACCGGCACCACAUUUGCUCAGGCCAAUCUACACCCCAUGGCCAUUAAAAGUUAUUCAAAUCAUGACGCUGCACCCCACGGUUUAGGUUCUAGGGGGCGCCAAAGAUAACCCUAAAAUCCACAUAUUUAAAAGUCUUAUAACUUUUUAUUUUUGCCCUCACUGGCCUCCAAGUUUUCUAGGAUGAUGCAAUGUCCAGCCAUCAACACAUUUGUGAAGGAAUUUUUACUUCCCAAAAGAGCGCCCCCCCAUGGCAGGAGAAAAAAGUCAAUUUUUUCUUGUCCCGUAAGGUGAAAAUACACAUUGUUGAGUGUCACGCCUGUACGCUUUGUCAAAAUGACACAAAAAUUGACACACACAUGUAUCUCAAUAAGAUCUACAAAAAAGUCCGUGAGCGCGUAUCUGUCAAAUGUAAGGUUAAAGGGUUAUUCCGCAUUUUUUGCCGAUUCGCACACAUUGGAAUUUCGCUAACUCCUCCGAAGGCUUUCGUUCCACCGGCACCACAUUUGCUCAGGCCAAAUUACACCCCAUGGCCAUUAAAAGUUAUUCAAAUCAUGACGCUGCACCCCACGGUUUACGUUCUAGGGGGCGCCAAAGAUAACCCAAAAAUCCACAUUUUUAAAAGUCUUAUAACUUUUUAUUUUUGUCCUCACUGGCCUCCAAGUUUUCUAGGAUGAUGCAAUGUCCAGCCAUCAACACAUUUGUGAAGGAAUUUUUACUCCCUAAAAGAGCGCCCCCCCCAUGGCAGGAGAAAAAAGUCCAUUUUUUCUUGUCCCCUAAGGUGAAAAUACACAUUGUUGACUGUCACGCCUGUACGCUUUGGCAAAAUGACACAAAAAUUGACAAUCAUGUGUAUCUCAAUUAGAUCUACGAAAAAGUCAAAGAGCGCGUAUCUGUAUAAUGUACGGUAAAAGGGCUAUUUUGCAUUUUUUGCCGAUUCGCACACAUUGGAAUUUCGCUAACUCCUCCUAAGGCUUUCGUCCCACUGACACCAAAUUUGCUCAGGCCAAUCUACACUCCAUGGCCAUUCAAAGUUGUAAAAAUCAUGAUGACCCAAAUAUACAUUACAGUAGACAAAGUAGUUUUGCCCACUGAGUGGCGCCAAAGGGACUUGUCUGUGGAGUCUGUGAGUCACUAUUGGCCGUUUUUGACUACUUUAGAUUUUACCUUUAUAUUUCCUCUUACAAAAUUUUUACCUUGCCUUGCCUGGUAUCAUUUUUUUCAGCACAACCUCACCUGUGUCAAUUUACAGUUAUUUUAUCAUUUUGACAUACUAUAUUUACACAUUGGACCCAAAUUCACACACAAAACAUAAAAUCCGAGUGGAAAAAAGUAACGUUUUUACUGUGAAAACCACAAAUAUGUGUGAUGAACUGUUUUUAAAACUUAAACUUCAAAUAAAAAUUGUAAACUUCAAAACAUAUGCAAAUUUUUAACAAAGAACAUAGUAAUUUACCUCUAUUUACAUCAAAAUGCAGGCAAUGGCCCAGGUGUUCUUUGUAAAAUUAUUUACAAAACACUGUAUAGUCUCACAAAUGUCACUUUUUAUUUAUGCCACUACAAAAAAACAUGAUGUAAAUGAUGCAUGAUGUAAAACAUGAUGUAAAAAACUUGUGUAGAUCCUCCUCUAUGUUAGUCCAUGUGUAAUUUUUCCAUAAUUCUUUGUUUUUUGCAGCAUUUUUGUUAGUGUAACUGCAGAUUGUGCUGACAGUGUCUAUGGCACAAAAAAAAAAAAAAACUGAAAAUGCCUCAACAUGAACCCCUGGUGGUCUCUGAGGGUGAAACCUGCUAACUGCUGCAGCUCUGUCAGCUUCAGUCUCCCAUGCAGAGCUCGGAGCGCAUGUGUGGCUCUGCACCCUUAGCAGCGUUGCUAACUCCUCAGUAAGGAAAGCCUGCUUCAUGUCAGAGUCUCUAAACUCCAGAAGAAGUCGAUAAAAGUCACUUUCUUUCUAAAAAAAAGUCGUUAGGGGGUCUGAAAAGUCAUUGAAUCUAACAACAAAGUCGCUAGGUUUGCAACUACGUGUCCCAGACUGCAUCCCUGCUGAGAGUCCCUCCCUCCCUUCUCAUAUUGCAGGAAGAACGUAAGCGCCCGCCCCUUGUCAAUCAGUCACCAUAUAAUUUUGGAUUGGUUGUUGUGGUGAAGUUUUCCACCAAUAGGAGAGAUGUUGUGGUGUGCUUUUUUUUUCCUUUGGCAAGCCUUUUCCGCCUGUAAGACCUGUCGCUAAUGUCUGCAUGCUAUGUUUUCCUGUCUCAUACAGCGCGAUCGAGCGCCGACCGUGAUCAAAAUAAGCAGAAAACAAGUAUCGCGGACAUAAUUUAUCAUAACUCUGGUUUUAUUUGGCCUAUCAACACAAUUUAAAAACUGGUAUAUAGGUUGAGGUCAUCACUUUUGAGAUAAGUUGAAACGGAGAGUCAACGAGGCUCCGUCUUGCAGCUACAUCCGGUUAAAUAUGUCAUGUGACUUGAACGCACACACACACACACACACAGACACACACACACACGCACACACACACACUCAGAGUCUGGUUUUUAGCACCUGCAAAAACAUGCUAUUUACAUAUUUGACAAGAAUGCAGAGGCUCCUUUUGCCCCUGAAAAAAAUCAAAUUUCAAACACAACUUGACUGGUCAUUUCUCCAAAAGACAACCAUGAAGCUCCAUCCAAACCUGAAGCAGGCAGUUGGUGCAUGUGUACAGUAACCUGAGGGGAGUGAGGUGACUGCUUCUGAGGAGAACAUGAGCAGUGAAGAUUCACCUUAGAGCUAGAACAGAGACGUGCACAUGAUUAUACAGGGGCAGGGGCUCAAGUUUUUUCCAGUUGUUUAUACAAUAUGGAAAUUAAUGUGAAAUUAAAAAACAAAGUAUUAAUAGAAAGGUAAUGACUGUCCUGUGUAGGUGACAGUGAUAUCCAAUAGGCUAGGCACUCACGAGGCUGGCUGUGGCAAGUGUAAGUGAAAGCAACACGCACUGGCAGGAAGAACAGCAAACGCCGAUGAAGGAAAAGGGUCUUUGCAGUGAUGGGCGUUACCAGAGAGGGCGAUGGCCAGAGGACGCGAAUGGGACGGGGAGGCGGUCGCGCUGGGGGCGGCGCGACGCGGCUCGGGCCCGACAGUGCCCCACCGGGGCCCUAGUUCUUUCUUUAGGGCCCGAGCCAGCUGCAGAGCAGCCGGGCGUAGGCCCUAUUAUUCCCCAAGUGGUUUUUCUUUGUUUCUUUCUUUCUUUUUAGGGCCCGAGCGUAGCUGCUAAGCAGCUGCGAGAGCCCUAUUAUUCCUGAUGGAUUCUUCUUUCUUCUUCUUCUUCUUAUUAUUUUUCUGCCCCUUUGAACUGGAAAAUGGCCCACUUCCCACUGGUGAAAAGUCAUGAAAUUUGGCAGGACGACCGGGCCUGGUGAAAAAUUCGAUAUUCUGAAGUCGCCCAAACAAUAAAAUGCAAAAUGGCUCCAUAGCGCCCCCUAAGGUGAAAAUUCACACUAUUGACUAUCACGCCUGUACGCUUUGUCAUAUUGACACAAAAAUUGACACACACAUGUAUCUCAAUAAGAUCUACAAAAAAGUCAGUGCGGGCGUAUCUGUCAAAUGUACGGUUAAAGGGUUAUUUUGCAUUUUUUGCAGAUCCGCACACAUUGGAAUUUCGCUAACUCCUCCGAAGGCUUUCGUUCCACCGGCACCACAUUUGCUCAGGCCAAUCUACACUCCAUGGCCAUUCAAAGUUGUACAAAUCAUAAUGCUGCACCCCAUGGUUUAGGUUCUAGGGGGCGCCAAAAAUAACCCAAAAAUCCACAUUCUUAAAAGUUUUAUAAAUUUUUUUUUUUGUCCUCACUGGCCUCCAAGUUUUCUAGGAUGAUGCAAUGUCCAGCCAUCAACACAUUUGUGAAGGAAUUUUUACUCCCCAAAAGAGCGCCCCCCCAUGGCAGGACAAAAAAGUCCAUUUUUUCUUGUCCCAUAAGGUGAAAAUUCACACUAUUGACUGUCACGCCUGUACGCUUUGUCAUAUUGACACAAAAAUUGACACACACAUGUAUCUCAAUAAGGUCUACAAAAAAGUCAGUGCAGGCGUAUCUGUCAAAUGUACGGUUAAAGGGUUAUUUCGCAUUUUUUGCCGUUCCGCACACAUUGGAAUUUCGCUAACUCCUCCGAAGGCUUUCGUUCCACCGGCACUACAUUUGCUCAGGCCAAUCUACACCCCAUGGCCAUUCAAAGUUGUACAAAUCAUGACGCUGCACCCCACGGUUUACGUUCUAGGGGGCGCCAAAGAUAACCCACAAAUCCACAUUCUUAAAAAUCUUAUAACUUUUUAUUUUUGUCCUCAUUGGCCUCCAAGUUUUCUAGGAUGAUGCAAUGUCCAGCCAUCAACACAUUUGUGAAGGAAUUUUUACUCCCCAAAACAGCGCCCCCCCCAUGGCAGGACAAAAAAGGCCAUUUUUUCUUGUCCCCUAAGGUGAAAAUAAACAUUGUUCAGUGUCACGCCUGUACGCUUUGUCAUAUUGACACAAAAUUUGACACACACGUGUAUCUCAAUAAGAUCUACGAAAAAGUCAAUGGGCACAUAUCUGUAAAAUGUACGGUUAAAGGGCUAUCUUGCAUUUUUUGCCGAUUUUCACACAUUGGAAUGUGGCUAACUCCUCCUAAGGCUUUCGUUCUACUGACACCAAAUUUGCUCAGGCCAAUCUACACCCCAUGGCCAUUCAAAGUUGUACAAAUCAUGACGCUGCACCCCACGGUUUAGGUUUUAGGGGGCGCCAAAGAUGACCCAAAUAUCCACAUUUUUAAAAGUCUUAUAACUUUUUAUUUUUGUCCUCACUGGCCUCCAAGUUUUCUAGGAUGAUGCAAUGUGCAGCCAUCAACACAUCUGUGAAGGAAUUUUUUCUCCCCAAAAGAGCGCCCCCCCCAAUGGCAGGAGAAAAAGUCAAGUUUUUCCAGCCCAUCGCUUAAUGGCUCAAACGCAUUGCUCUCCCGCUAAAACCAAAAGGAGGAGCAACUUGCCAUUUGGAUAUGUCCUAGCUGUGUUUGUGCCCUCACUCAUGGUCCAGAGUUUUUUCAAAUAGGACAUGUAGUUUGUCUGCAGCGAGUGUUUUGGUAGAAACUGUGCCUCCCAUUCAUUAUAAUGGGAAAUGACCAAAGACAGGUGCGCACACCAUCUUUGGACCUUGACUUUGACGUCACAGUUUGAGAUACAAAUGUUAUUUGACCUCUGACCUUUGGUGGACACCCUAACCUUUCAACCCGCGAAAACGGCGUUUCAAUAGCUCUUACGGCUUUCCUACAAAUACACUUUGUUCAGCUACUCCUACUGUCCUUUAAGCUCUGCUUCUCAGAUCAUCAAAGAGUGUGCACGUGUGUAAUGAGCGCAUAUUGAAUGUUAAUUAUGUUAAAUAUGUUAAUUAUUAGAAGAAAAAACAACAACAGUCCUUUUGGACAAAAUUUCUUUUUAUUACAGAAUUAGAAUAAUGGAAGCAUAGUCCAAGGAAACCAUUCAAGUGAUGUCAUACCUCAUAAUUUAUUGAGAUGUUGGCUAGUCUGGGCAUUUCUUCAUUCAUCAGGUUUCCUGCAUGCAUACUAACAGAGCACAUCAGUAGCAGUGAGUGAUAAGUAUGAGUGUGUCAUUGUGUAAGAAAGAAAGUGGUUUACUUACACAUCCAUAGAAAAUAGGUGGUUGAGCACAGCACGCAAACAAAGCUUUGCCACAACGGUUGAACUUCCCAAGUAGCUGAUACCAAGGUCACACAAUCAUGGUGAGCAAAGGUCAAACCAGGCCAGGCACUCACGAGGCUGGCUGUGGCAAGUGUAAGUGAAAGCAACACGCAAUGGCAGGAAGAACAGCAAACACCGAUGAAGGAAAAGGGUCUUUGCAGUGAUGGGCGUCACCAGAGAGGGCGAUGGCCAGAGGGCACGAAUGGGACGGGGAGGCGGUCGCGCUGGGGGCGGCGCGACCCGGCUCGGGCCCGACAGUGCCCCAACGGGGCCCUAGUUAUUAUUUUUCCUCCCCUUUGAACUGGAAAAUGGCCCACUUCCCACGGGCGAAAACUCAUGAAAUUUGGCAGGACGAACGGGCCUGGUGAAAAAUUUGAUAUUCCGAAGUCGCCCAAACAAGAAAAUGCAAAAUGGCUCCAUAGCGCCCCCUAAGGUGAAAAUUCACACUAUUGACUGUCACGCGUGUACGCUUUGUCAAAAUGACACAAAAAUUGACACACACAUGUAUCUCAAUAAGAUCUACAAAAAAGUCAGUGCGGGCGUAUCUGUCAAAUGUACGGUUAAAGGGUUAUUUCGCAUUUUUUGCCGAUCCGCACACAUUGGAAUUUCGCUAACUCCUCCGAAGGCUUUCGUUCCACCGGCACCACAUUUGCUCAGGCCAAUCUACACCCCAUGGCCAUUCAAAGUUAUUCAAAUCAUGACGCUGCACCCCACGGUUUAGGUUCUAGGGGGCGCCAAAUAUAACCCUAAGAUCCACAUAUUUAAAAGUCUUAUAACUUUUUAUUUUUGCCCUCACUGGCCUCCAAGUUUUCUAGGAUGAUGCAAUGUCCAGCCAUCAACACAUUUGUGAAGGAAUUUUUACUCCCCAAAAGAGCGCCCCCCCAUGGCAGGAGAAAAAAGUCCAUUUUUUCUUGCCCCCUAAGGUGAAAAUACACAUUGUUGAGUGUAACACCUGUACGCUUUGGCAAAAUGACACAAAAAUUGACACACACAUGUAUCUCAAUAAAAUCUACGAAAAAGUCAAUGCGCGCGUAUCUGUCAAAUGUACGGUUAAAGGGUUAUUCCGCAUUUUUUGCCGAUCCGCACACAUUGGAAUUUCGCUAACUCCUCCGAAGGCUUUCGUUCCACCGGCACCACAUUUGCUCAGGCCAAUCUACACCCCAUGGCCAUUAAAAGUUAUUCAAAUCAUGACGCUGCACCCCACGGUUUAGGUUCUAGGGGGCGCCAAAGAUAACCCUAAAAUCCACAUAUUUAAAAGUCUUAUAACUUUUUAUUUUUGUCCUCACUGGCCUCCAAGUUUUCUAGGAUGAUGCAAUGUCCAGCCAUCAACACAUUUGUGAAGGAAUUUUUACUCCCCAAAAGAGCGCCCCCCCAUGGCAGGAGAAAAAAGUCAAUUUUUUCUUGUCCCCUAAGGUGGAAAUUCACACUAUUGACUGUCACGCCUGUACGCUUUAUCAUAUUGACACAAAAAUUGACACACAUAUGUAUCUCAAUAAGAUCUACAAAAAAGUCAAUGCGCGCGUAUCUGUCAAAUGUACGGUUAAAGGGUUAUUUUCCAUUUUUUGCCGAUUCGCACACAUUGGAAUGUGGCUAACUCCUCCUAAGGCUUUCGUCCCACUGACACCAAAUUUGCUCAGGCCAAUCUACACCCCAUGGCCAUUCAAAGUUGUAAAAAUCAUGACGCUGCACCCCACGGUUUACGUUCUAGGGGGCGCCAAAGAUGACCCAAAAAUCCACAUUCUUAAAGGAAUCCACAUCCCCCCCCCCCCCCCCCCCAAGGCAGGAGAAAAAGUCAAGUUAACCCUGCCCAUCGCUCAAUGGCUCAAUCGCAUCGCUCUCCAGGCAACACCGUAAGGAGGAGCAACCUGCCAUUUCGAUAUAUCAUAGCUGUGUUUGUGCCCUCACUCAUGGUCCAGACUUUUUUCAAAUAGGACAUGAAGUUUGUCUGCAGCGAGUAUUUUGGUAGAAACUGCGCCUCCCAUUCAUUAUAAUGGGAAAUGACCACAGACAAGUGCGCACACCAUCUUUGGACCUUGAGUGUGACGCGAUCGGGAGGGGGAGGCGGUCGCGCUGGGGGCAGCGCGACGCGGCUCGGGCCCGACAGUGCCCCACCGGGGCCCUAGUUUCUUUUUCCUCCCCUUUGAACUGGAAAAUGGCCCACUUCCCACUGGCGAAAACUCAUGAAAUUUUGCAGGACGACCGGGCCUGGUGAAAAAUUUGAUAUUCUGAAGUCGCCCAAAC